rnacentral:rRNA from 1 species
AAACCGUUCAGGGGUAAACCUGAGAAACCCAAAAGAUCGAAUGGGGAGAUUCAUCGUCGACGGCGUUGGCUACCGUUUGUGCGCGAUGCUCCGGGUGGGACCCUGUGGUUCCAUUAGCGAGGGCACGCCACCUUCGGAUCGAACUUUCCUGCGUCGUAGUCGUGCACUUCUCCCCUAGUAGGACGUCGCGACCCGUUGUGUGUCGGUCUACGGCCCGAGCGGGAGACUGUCGCGUCGCUUCGGCGCACGCGGCAGACCCUCGGUCGCCCGGCCGGCUGCACGACGGUACACCAACGGUAUCGGGCCGCAGCCAAUCCAUUCUCGAAUGUGUGUGCGUCCAUCCCGCCGCAAGCUCGGUCAGUUCUUACCCGGAGGUACGGACCCUGUGCCGUCCCCGGGCCUGGCCAGCUGUUAGCAGGCGGUGUCCUCGGACCGGCCAAACCUCGGAUUACCGGUCGGCGACGCUAUUGCUUUGGGUACUCUCAGGACCCGUCUUGAAACACGGACCAAGGAGUCUAACAUGUGCGCGAGUCAUUGGGAUGCACAAACCUAAAGGCGAAAUGAAAGUGAAAGUCGGCCUUCGCGCCGAUCGAGGGAGGAUGGGCCGCGUAACCAUGCGGCCCCGCACUCCCGGGGCGUCUCGUUCUCACUGCGAGGAGAGGCGCACCUAGAGCGUACACGUUGGGACCCGAAAGAUGGUGAACUAUGCCUGGUCAGGACGAAGUCAGGGGAAACCCUGAUGGAGGUCCGUAGCGAUUCUGACGUGCAAAUCGAUCGUCGGAACUUGGUAUAGGGGCGAAAGACUAAUCGAA